rnacentral:lncRNA from 1 species
GAGACAGAGAUUGAUCUUGAUGUACAGUGCCAUUUGAAAAUCUCAAAACUAAGUAAGUUGUUCCCCUUCAGCUAGAUCAGGGAAGUAUUCAUCAAAUAACAGUCACUAGCUGUGCUGGGAAAAUAGUUGAUUAAUUGAGCCAAACCUAUCUCUGCUACCAAGCAUUGUAGCUGGCUGGAAAAAAAGAAAGGAAGAAAUAAUCAUGUCCAUCACCAAGAAAUGAAGAUAAGGGGGUUUGCUCCUUCUGGAUUUGAUCCCCCAGCUGGCACCUGGCUCAGACUUAAUUAAUGCUGCCUGUUCUUGUCUGAGUUUCCAUGAACUUAUAAAUACAAGUUGUUUUUGUAAAUUGAGUCCCAAACCCAUAUGUUUAUAAGAG